GGGGAACCUUGCACAAUGGGGGCAACCCUGAUGCAGCGACGCCGCGUGAGCGAUGAAGCCCUUCGGGGCGUAAAGCUCUUUCGACCGGAACGAUAAUGACGGUACCGGGAGAAGAAGCUGCGGCUAACUACGUGCCAGCAGCCGCGGUAAUACGUAGGCAGCAAGCGUUGUUCGGAGUUACUGGGCGUAAAGAGUGCGUAGGCGGUUUUCUAAGUUCGGUGUGAAAUCUCCCGGCUUAACUGGGAGGGUGCGCCGAAGACUGGGAAGCUGGAGUGUGGGAAAGGCAGGCGGAAUUCCUGGUGUAGCGGCGAAAUGCGUAGAUAUCAGGAGGAACACCGGCGGUGUAGACGGCUUGCUAGACCAUAACUGACGCUGAGGCACGAAAGCGUGGGUAGCAAACA
rnacentral:rRNA from 1 species